rnacentral:rRNA from 1 species
AAUAGAUACCCGGGUAGUCCACGCCGUAAACUAUGAUUACUCGAUGUCGGCGAUAUACUGUCGGUGUCCAAGCGAAAGUGAUAAGUAUCCCACCUGGGGAGUACGAACGCAAGUUUGAAACUCAAAGGAAUUGACGGGGGCCCGCACAAGCGGUGGAGCAUGUGGUUUAAUUCGAUGAUACGCGAGGAACCUUACCAAGGCUUAAAUGUAGAUUGACAGGACUGGAAACAGUUUUUUCUUCGGACAAUUUACAAGGUGCUGCAUGGUUGUCGUCAGCUCGUGCCGUGAGGUGUCAGGUUAAGUCCUAUAACGAGCGCAACCCCUGUUGUUAGUUGCCAGCGAGUGAUGUCGGGAACUCUAACAAGACUGCCAGUGUAAACUGUGAGGAAGGUGGGGAUGACGUCAAAUCAUCACGGCCCUUACGCCUUGGGCUACACACGUGCUACAAUGGCCGGUACAGAGAGCAGCCACUGCGCGAGCAGGAGCGAAUCUAUAAAACCGGUCACAGUUCGGAUCGGAGUCUGCAACUCG